AGAGUUUGAUCAUGGCUCAGGAUGAACGCUGGCGGCGUGCUUAACACAUGCAAGUCGAACGAAACACCUUAUUUGAUUUUCUUCGGAACUGAAGAUUUGGUGAUUGAGUGGCGGACGGGUGAGUAACGCGUGGGUAACCUGCCCUGUACAGGGGGAUAACAGUCAGAAAUGACUGCUAAUACCGCAUAAGACCACAGCACCGCAUGGUGCAGGGGUAAAAACUCCGGUGGUACAGGAUGGACCCGCGUCUGAUUAGCUGGUUGGUGAGGUAACGGCUCACCAAGGCGACGAUCAGUAGCCGGCUUGAGAGAGUGAACGGCCACAUUGGGACUGAGACACGGCCCAAACUCCUACGGGAGGCAGCAGUGGGGAAUAUUGCACAAUGGGGGAAACCCUGAUGCAGCGACGCCGCGUGAGUGAAGAAGUAUCUCGGUAUGUAAAGCUCUAUCAGCAGGGAAGAAAAUGACGGUACCUGACUAAGAAGCCCCGGCUAACUACGU
rnacentral:rRNA from 1 species